CCUGGAUACCUGAGGCCAUAGCAGAAGCGCUCAUGGUGCAGCCCUGUCAAAUUCCAAGAAAUCUGUGAAUUCUGCU
rnacentral:ribozyme from 1 species